UGGGGGAUCGUCUAACGGUAGGACAACGGACUCUGGCUCCGUAUGUGAGGGUUCGAAUCCUUCUCCCCCAG
rnacentral:tRNA from 3 species